GAGGCGUCGAGCGGCGGACGGGUGAGUAACGCGUGAGAAUCUACCCAUUUGUGGGGGAUAACCCGGGGAAACUCGGGCUAAUACCGCAUACUCCCUACGGGGGAAAGCAGGGGACCUUCGGGCCUUGCGCUGAUGGAUGAGCUCGCGUCGGAUUAGCUUGUUGGUGAGGUAAAGGCUCACCAAGGCGACGAUCCGUAGCUGGUCUGAGAGGAUGAUCAGCCACACCGGGACUGAGACACGGCCCGGACUCCUACGGGAGGCAGCAGUGGGGAAUCUUGGACAAUGGGGGCAACCCUGAUCCAGCCAUGCCGCGUGUGUGAAGAAGGCCUUCGGGUUGUAAAGCACUUUCAGUAGGGAGGAAGGCUUACCCCUAAUACGGGUGAGUACUUGACGUUACCUACAGAAGAAGCACCGGCUAAUUUCGUGCCAGGAGCCGCGGUAAUACGAACGGUGCGAGCGUUAAUCGGAAUUACUGGGCGUAAAGCGCGCGUAGGCGGUUUGUUAAGUCAGAUGUGAAAGCCCCGGGCUCAACCUGGGAAUUGCAUCCGAUACUGGCACGCUAGAGUGCAGUAGAGGGAGGUGGAAUUUCCGGUGUAGCGGUGAAAUGCGUAGAGAUCGGAAGGAACACCAGUGGCGAAAGGCGGCCUCCUGGACUGACACUGACGCUGAGGUGCGAAAGCGUGGGGAGCAAACAGGAUUAGAUACCCUGGUAGUUCACGCCGUAAACGAUGUUUACUAGUCGUUGGGAAUCUUAGUAUUCUUGGUGAGGAAGUUAACGCGAUAAGUAGACCGCCUGGGGAGUACGGCCGCAAGGUUAAAAAUCAAAUGAAUUGACGGGGGCCCGCACAAGCGGUGGAGCAUGUGGUUUAAUUUGAUGCAACGGGAAGAACCUUACCAGGCCUUGACAUCCUUGGAACUUUGUAGAGAUAGAUUGGUGCCUUUGGGAGCCAGGUGACAGGUGGUGCAUGGCCGUUGUCAGCUUGUGUUGUGAGAUGUUGGGUUAAGUCCCGUAACGAGGGCAACCCUUGUCCCUAGUUGCCAGCACUUUGGGUGGGAAAUCUAGGGAGACUGCCGGUGACAAACCGGAGGAAGGUGGGGAGGAGGUCAAGUCUUCACGGCCCCUACGGCCCGGGGUACACACGUGUUACAAUGGGCAGUACAGAGGGCCGUGAAGUCGCGAGGCCAAGCAAAUCCCUUAAAACUGCUGUUAGUCCGGAUUGGAGUGUGCAAAUCGAGUCCACGAAGUGUGAAUCGCUAGUAAUCGCGAAUCAGAAUGUCGCGGUGAAUACGUUCCCGGGCCCUGUACACACCGCCCGUCACACCACGGGAAGGA
rnacentral:rRNA from 1 species